rnacentral:rRNA from 1 species
CAGUAGCCGCGGUAAUACAGAGGGUGCAAGCGUUAAUCGGAAUUACUGGGCGUAAAGCGCGCGUAGGUGGUUUGUUAAGUUGGAUGUGAAAUCCCCGGGCUCAACCUGGGAACUGCAUCCAAAACUGGCAAGCUAGAGUAUGGUAGAGGGUGGUGGAAUUUCCUGUGUAGCGGUGAAAUGCGUAGAUAUAGGAAGGAACACCAGUGGCGAAGGCGACCACCUGGACUGAUACUGACACUGAGGUGCGAAAGCGUGGGGAGCAAACAGGAUUAGAUACCCCAGUAGUCCCUGUCUCUUAUAU